GGUGAGAUGGCUCAGUGGGUAAGAGCACCCGACUGCUCUUCUGAAGGUCCUGAGUUCAAGUCCCAGCAACCA
rnacentral:tRNA from 1 species